UUAGCGCUAUGCUUGGAGUGCUUGCGGUGGCGUACGCUGUCAUUAGGAACGACGGGGCUUAAGGAGACGGUCCGGUGCGAGCUGCAUUGGAGAGAUACGUGUCAAAUUGUAUCGUAAGGAGCAGGCUGCGUAGGUGGAAAACUUUGCCUGUCCUGCAAAUGCAGUAGAUGAUCCAGAGACAAAGCCUGAGGUCUGCACUGCAAACAUGCCAGAGUCCUCCCUGGUCAAGGACGGUCGCAGCAGCUCUGUUGAAUAUGGAGCAUCCCCCUUGAGACAGUUUAGCCAAUCAUCACUGCUGCUGCACAGAAACUCCUACAUGCUCAGUACCUUCUGCACAGAGCACAAUGUGCAACAAUGUCUGUCACACAUCA